GCUUAAAACUCAAAGGACUUGACGGCACUUUAAACCCCCCUAGAGGAGCCUGUCCUAUAAUCGACAGUACACGUUACACCCGACCACCUUUAGCCUACUCAGUCUGUAUACCGCCGUCGCAAGCCCGUCCCAUUUGAGGGAAACAAAACGCGCGCAACAGCUCAACCGAGCUAACACGUCAGGUCAAGGUGCAGCCAACAAGGUGGAAGAGAUGGGCUACAUUUUCUCAACAUGUAGAAAUAUUCAACGGAGAGCCCUAUGAAAUACAGGACUGUCAAAGCCGAUUUAGCAGUAAACUGGGAAAGAAUACCUAGUUGAAGUCGGUAACGAAGUGCGUACACACCGCCGGUCACCUCCUCGAACCCAACAAAAUGCCCAAACAACAGGCACAAUGUUGGGCAAGAUGGGGAAAGUCGUAACAAGGUAAGCGUACCGGAAGGUGCACUUGGAACAU
rnacentral:rRNA from 1 species